GGGUUGUGAGGUUAAGCGACUAAGCGUACACGGUGGAUGCCCUGGCAGUCAGAGGCGAUGAAGGGCGUGCUAAUCUGCGAUAAGCGCCGGUAAGGUGAUAUGAACCGUUAUAACCGGCGAUACCCGAAUGGGGAAACCCAGUGUGACUCGUCACACUAUCAUUAACUGAAUCCAUAGGUUAAUGAGGCGAACCGGGGGAACGUGAAACAUCUAAGUACCCCGAGGAAAAGAAAUUCAACCGAGAUUCCCCCAGUAGCGGCGAGCGAACGGGGAGGAGCCCAGAGCCUGAAUCAGCAUGUGUGUUAGUGGAAGCGUCUGGAAAGGCGCGCGAUACAGGGUGACAGCCCCGUACACAAAAGCGCAUGUGCUGUGAGCUCGAUGAGUAGGGCGGGACACGUGGUAUCCUGUCUGAAUAUGGGGGGACCAUCCUCCAAGGCUAAAUACUCCUGACUGACCGAUAGUGAACCAGUACCGUGAGGGAAAGGCGAAAAGAACCCCGGCGAGGGGAGUGAAAAAGAACCUGAAACCGUGUACGUACAAGCAGUGGGAGCCCCACCACCAAAGCAUUUGCUGUACCGCGUUGACGGAGCGAAGCGACGUCAAACCGAUAAAACAGCAGUGUAAAGUGAGCCGCAGGGCGCUUUGCGCGACAGCGCAAAGGCAGGCGGUUUCGCGUAGCGAAAGCGAAUGCUUUGGGGUGGGGUGACUGCGUACCUUUUGUAUAAUGGGUCAGCGACUUAUAUUCUGUAGCAAGGUUAACCGAAUAGGGGAGCCGGAGGGAAACCGAGUCUUAAUUGGGCGUUAAGUUGCAGGGUAUAGACCCGAAACCCGGUGAUCUAGCCAUGGGCAGGUUGAAGGUUGGGUAACACUAACUGGAGGACCGAACCGACUAAUGUUGAAAAAUUAGCGGAUGACCUGUGGCUGGGGGUGAAAGGCCAAUCAAACCGGGAGAUAGCUGGUUCUCCCCGAAAGCUAUUUAGGUAGCGCCUCGUGAAUUCAUCUCCGGGGGUAGAGCACUGUUUCGGCUAGGGGGCCAUCCCGGCUUACCAACCCGAUGCAAACUGCGAAUACCGGAGAAUGUUAUCACGGGAGACACACGGCGGGUGCUAACGUCCGUCGUGAAGAGGGAAACAACCCAGACCGCCAGCUAAGGUCCCAAAGUCAUGGUUAAGUGGGAAACGAUGUGGGAAGGCCCAGACAGCCAGGAUGUUGGCUUAGAAGCAGCCAUCAUUUAAAGAAAGCGUAAUAGCUCACUGGUCGAGUCGGCCUGCGCGGAAGAUGUAACGGGGCUAAACCAUGCACCGAAGCUGCGGCAGCGACACUGUGUGUUGUUGGGUAGGGGAGCGUUCUGUAAGCCUGUGAAGGUGUGUCGUGAGGCAUGCUGGAGGUAUCAGAAGUGCGAAUGCUGACAUAAGUAACGAUAAAGCGGGUGAAAAGCCCGCUCGCCGGAAGACCAAGGGUUCCUGUCCAACGUUAAUCGGGGCAGGGUGAGUCGACCCCUAAGGCGAGGCCGAAAGGCGUAGUCGAUGGGAAACGGGUUAAUAUUCCCGUACUUGGUGUUACUGCGAAGGGGGGACGGAGAAGGCUAUGUUGGCCGGGCGACGGUUGUCCCGGUUUAAGCGUGUAGGUGUGUGUUCCAGGUAAAUCCGGUUCACUUUAACACUGAGGCGUGACGACGAGGCACUACGGUGCUGAAGCAACAAAUGCCCUGCUUCCAGGAAAAGCCUCUAAGCAUCAGGUAACAUCAAAUCGUACCCCAAACCGACACAGGUGGUCAGGUAGAGAAUACCAAGGCGCUUGAGAGAACUCGGGUGAAGGAACUAGGCAAAAUGGUGCCGUAACUUCGGGAGAAGGCACGCUGACACGUAGGUGAAGUGAUUUACUCAUGGAGCUGAAGUCAGUCGAAGAUACCAGCUGGCUGCAACUGUUUAUUAAAAACACAGCACUGUGCAAACACGAAAGUGGACGUAUACGGUGUGACGCCUGCCCGGUGCCGGAAGGUUAAUUGAUGGGGUCAGCGCAAGCGAAGCUCCUGAUCGAAGCCCCGGUAAACGGCGGCCGUAACUAUAACGGUCCUAAGGUAGCGAAAUUCCUUGUCGGGUAAGUUCCGACCUGCACGAAUGGCGUAAUGAUGGCCAGGCUGUCUCCACCCGAGACUCAGUGAAAUUGAACUCGCUGUGAAGAUGCAGUGUACCCGCGGCAAGACGGAAAGACCCCGUGAACCUUUACUAUAGCUUGACACUGAACAUUGAGCCUUGAUGUGUAGGAUAGGUGGGAGGCUUUGAAGUGUGGACGCCAGUCUGCAUGGAGCCGACCUUGAAAUACCACCCUUUAAUGUUUGAUGUUCUAACGUGGACCCGUUACCCGGGUUGCGGACAGUGUCUGGUGGGUAGUUUGACUGGGGCGGUCUCCUCCUAAAGAGUAACGGAGGAGCACGAAGGUUGGCUAAUCCUGGUCGGACAUCAGGAGGUUAGUGCAAUGGCAUAAGCCAGCUUGACUGCGAGCGUGACGGCGCGAGCAGGUGCGAAAGCAGGUCAUAGUGAUCCGGUGGUUCUGAAUGGAAGGGCCAUCGCUCAACGGAUAAAAGGUACUCCGGGGAUAACAGGCUGAUACCGCCCAAGAGUUCAUAUCGACGGCGGUGUUUGGCACCUCGAUGUCGGCUCAUCACAUCCUGGGGCUGAAGUAGGUCCCAAGGGUAUGGCUGUUCGCCAUUUAAAGUGGUACGCGAGCUGGGUUUAGAACGUCGUGAGACAGUUCGGUCCCUAUCUGCCGUGGGCGCUGGAGAACUGAGGGGGGCUGCUCCUAGUACGAGAGGACCGGAGUGGACGCAUCACUGGUGUUCGGGUUGUCAUGCCAAUGGCACUGCCCGGUAGCUAAAUGCGGAAGAGAUAAGUGCUGAAAGCAUCUAAGCACGAAACUUGCCCCGAGAUGAGUUCUCCCUGAGACUUUAGAGUCUCCUGAAGGAACGUUGAAGACGACGACGUUGAUAGGCCGGGUGUGUAAGCGCAGCGAUGCGUUGAGCUAACCGGUACUAAUGAACCGUGAGGCUUAACCUUACAACGCCGAAG
rnacentral:rRNA from 1 species